rnacentral:rRNA from 1 species
CGAGAUGAGUUCUCCCUGACUCUUUAAGGGUCCUGAAGGAACGUUGAAGACGACGACGUUGAUAGGCCGGGUGUGUAAGCGCAGCGAUGCGUUGAGCUAACCGGUACUAAUGAACCGUGAGGCUUAACCUUACAACGCCGAAGGUGUUU